rnacentral:rRNA from 1 species
CUACGGGAGGCACCAGUGGGGAAUCUUGGACAAUGGGCGCAAGCCUGAUCCAGCCAUGCCGCGUGAGUGAAGAAGGCCUUAGGGUCGUAAAGCUCUUUCGCCAGAGAUGAUAACGACAGUAUCUGGUAAAGAAACCCCGGCUAACUCCGUGCCAGCAGCCGCGGUAAUACGGAGGGGGUUAGCGUUGUUCGGAAUUACUGGGCGUAAAGCGCGCGUAGGCGGAUUAGUCAGUCAGAGGUGAAAUCCCAGGGCUAAACCCUGGAACUGCCUUUGAUACUGCUAGUCUUGAGUUCGAGAGAGGUGAGUGGAAUUCCGAGUGUAGAGGUGAAAUUCGUAGAUAUUCGGAGGAACACCAGUGGCGAAGGCGGCUCACUGGCUCGAUACUGACGCUGAGGUGCGAAAGUGUGGGGAGCAAACAGGAUUAGAUACCCCAGUAGUC